AUUUCUUGCGGAUUUAAUUAGAAUUACCUGGAAAGGUAAACCGAAGAGGGUGAUAGUCCCGUAUAAGUAAGAGAAGAUAAGAAUAGUGGUAUCCUGAGUAGGUCGGGGCACGUGAAACCUUGAUUGAAACUGGCGGGACCAUCCGCUAAGGCUAAAUACUCCUGAGAGACCGAUAGUGAACCAGUACCGUGAGGGAAAGGUGAAAAGAACCGUGAAUAACGGAGUGAAACAGAUCCUGAAACCAUACGCCUACAAGCGGUCGGAGCCCUUUUGUGGGGUGACGGCGUGCCUUUUGCAUAAUGAGCCUACGAGUUACCGUUGCUGGCAAGGAUAAGUGAUUAAGUCAUGGAUCCGUAGCGAAAGCGAGUCUUAAUAGGGCGCUUUAGUCAGUAGUGGUAGACGCGAAACCGUGUGAUCUACCCAUGGGCAGGUUGAAGUUUAGGUAACACUAAAUGGAGGACCGAACCGUUUAACGCUGAAAAGUUUUCGGAUGACCUGUGGGUAGGGGUGAAAGGCCAAUCAAACUCGGAAAUAGCUCGUACUCCCCGAAAUGCAUUUAGGUGCAGCGAUGAUCGAUAGUUACUUAGAGGUAGAGCUACUGAUUGGAUGCGGGGGCUUCACCGCCUACCAAUUCCUGACAAACUCCGAAUGCUAAGUAAUGAUAGUCAUCAGUGAGGGCAUGGGUGCUAAGGUCCAUGUCCGAGAGGGAAAGAACCCAGACCAUCAGCUAAGGUCCCCAAAUGUAUGCUAAGUUGAAAAAACGCGGUUUGAUUGCCCAGACAGCUAGGAUGUUGGCUUGGAAGCAGCCAUUCAUUUAAAGAGUGCGUAACAGCUCACUAGUCGAGCGAUCGAGCAUGGAUAAUAAUCGGGCAUAAGUAUACUACCGAAGCUAUGGAUUUGCGCAUUUAGUUGCGUGAGUGGUAGGGGAGCAUUCUAACGGCGCAGAAGGUGAUUUGUGAGAAUUGCUGGAGCUUUUAGAAAAGAAAAUGUAGGCAUAAGUAACGAUAAGGGGUGCGAGAAACACCCCCGCCGUAAGACUAAGGUUUCCUCAGCUAUGCUAAUCAGCUGAGGGUUAGUCGGGACCUAAGGCACACCCGAAGGGGGACGUCGAUGGCCAACGGGUUAAUAUUCCCGUACUACUAAUAAUUGUGAUGGAGUGACACAGUGAUGAAAGCACCGCGAACUGACGGAAUAGUUCGUUGAAGCACGUACCUAUAGGUUUGAUAGUAAAAUGCGUCAGACUUGGAGAAAUGCGAUAGUACUUUGAGUCUUCGGACAACGAGAUAGUGUGCCUAAGGGCUGUCAAGAAAAGCUUCUAAACUUAGAUUAUUAGUACCCGUACCGUAAACCGACACAGGUAGUCGAGGAGAGUAUCCUAAGGCGCUCGAGAGAUUCAUGGCUAAGGAACUAGGCAAAAUAGACCUGUAACUUCGGGAGAAAGGUCGCCAGCGCAAGCUGGCCGCAGUGAAAAGGUCCAGGCGACUGUUUAUCAAAAACACAGGGCUCUGCAAAAUCGUAAGAUGACGUAUAGGGCCUGACACCUGCCCGGUGCUGGAAGGUUAAGAGGAGAUGUUAUC
rnacentral:rRNA from 1 species